rnacentral:lncRNA from 1 species
AGAAACGGGAUGCAGUAUUUAUGAUGUAUCGACUGCACCUCCGGGGACCAUGGUGGCACCGCGUCAAUUCCAGGAAGGAAAAUAAGCUAAAAUGCUUUCCUGCCAGAACACUACAAUUAGGAGGCCAGAAGCACAACAUCAUGAAACCUGUUUAUUAUAGAGUCAGAUGAGUCUUUUCAUUUGCACAGCUUGGAACUGCAAAAGUGCAGUUCUUUGCUGAUCAUUUUUCGUACAAAUUCUUUUGUGCUAUUCUUUUUGCCCAUUGCGCAAGAGCUACACUGAGGGACGCCAAUGUUCAGUGCUACACGGCGUGUACAGAGAACAAAUGCCUCGGCCUGCAGCAAUUCGCUUGUUAUUAUGGGAUGGGAUUGUUGAUCUCUGUUGAUGACAUCAUAAAUGUAUGUUUGUCAGCACUGUCAUGUUUUUGUGGCGUUAUCAGGUUUUCUUUUUUUCUUGUGUGCUG